GCGCAUUCAAUUUCGACGAGUCCAAGUGCGCGGAUCGCCUCCAAGCGAACCGAUUCCUUUCCCCAAAUUGAAAGUAACUUGCAUUUUGUGUUCAUCGUCCAGUCAGUGUCAGCGUCUGUGAGUGACCUUUUGUUGUGGAGUGUCGAAGUGAAGCUGUUAGCGAGUGCAAAGGUGCCAAGUGCCAAACAAAAACAAAAAACAAGCUCGUCAUUCUCCGCUGGGACGUUGCGUGUGGAAGAUGGGAAAAUUCGAGUACUCGCUGGGCCUCAAUGAGCUCAAGUCAAAGGAGCUGCGUCUGUGGCAGGCCCUCAUUGGCGAGUUCCUGGGCACACUCAUACUGAAUUUCUUUGCAUGCGGCGCCUGCACUCAGGUGGAGGAUGGCACCUUCAAGGCGCUGGCCUUUGGUCUGGCCAUCUUUAUGGCCAUUACGAUUGUGGGUCACCUGAGCGGUGGACAUGUGAAUCCUGCGGUAACUGUGGGCAUGCUGGUCGCCGGACGCAUCAGCUUCCUGCGUGCUCUGUUCUACAUUGUCUUCCAGUGCCUGGGCGCCAUUGCGGGCACAGCAGCUGUGCGGACCCUCAUCGACAGGGACUACUACAAUGGGCUGGGGCACACGAGUCUCGCGGAGAAUAUCACCGAGCUGCAGGGACUGGGCAUUGAGUUCUUCCUGGGACUGCUGCUGGUGCUCACCGUGUUCGGUGCCUGUGAUCCCCACAAGCCCGACUCCCGCUACACGGCGCCGCUGGCCAUUGGCAUGGCCGUGACCUUGGGCCACUUGGGCACCAUACGCUAUACGGGCGCCAGCAUGAAUCCGGCACGCACCGUGGGCACAGCCUUUGCCACGGACAACUGGAGUGCCCACUGGGUGUACUGGGCUGGGCCAGUGCUGGGAGGCGUGGCCGCGGCGCUGCUCUACACACAGGUGCUGGAGGCAAAGCCGGCACCGAAGGCGGCAGAGGCGGCCGAUAAGUAUCGCACGCAUGCCGAUGAACGUGAGGUGAGAGUCCGAUUGAAAGGCGCCCGGAGCGAAGAAUACUUCUAUUGACACACACACACACACACACAAACACACUCACCCAUCCACCCACCCACUCAUGUACACAUUCUGCGCAAGCUGGAGGGUACACGGGACUAUGCUUAAGGACACCCGCACAAGGAUCUUAAGCGCCGGCAGUGUAUGCCAGCAGAGCGAAAGCGAGGGAAGCACAAGCAGCGGAGCGGAGCGAACACGAAACAGAUUUUUGAUGUUUUGUCCAUUUACUCAUUCAAUUUCAAUGUCUACUCUUAUGUACUUCCGUGUUCACGUGCCUGUCUAUUUAUGUAUUUAUUUAUGCAAAAGUUCAUUUUUUAUAUAACUAAUACUUAUACUUAUACUCGUAAGCAGUGCUUCAAAAGAAAUUGCAAAUCUAUUCUCAAGAGUUCACAAUAAAAUUGAAACAAUUAUUGGAACUAAUUAA